rnacentral:rRNA from 1 species
GACGAACGCUGGCGGCGUGCUUAACACAUGCAAGUCGAACGGAAAGGCCCUGCUUUUGUGGGGUGCUCGAGUGGCGAACGGGUGAGUAACACGUGAGUAACCUGCCCUUGACUUUGGGAUAACUUCAGGAAACUGGGGCUAAUACCGGAUAGGAGCUCCUGCUGCAUGGUGGGGGUUGGAAAGUUUCGGCGGUUGGGGAUGGACUCGCGGCUUAUCAGCUUGUUGGUGGGGUAGUGGCUUACCAAGGCUUUGACGGGUAGCCGGCCUGAGAGGGUGACCGGCCACAUUGGGACUGAGAUACGCACCAGACUCCUACGGGAGGCAGUAGUGGAGAGUAUGGCGCAAUGGGCGGAAGCCUGAUGCAGCAACGCCGCGUGCGGGAUGACGUCCUUCGGGGUGUAAACCGCUUUCGCCUGUGACGAAGCGUGAGUGACGGUAAUGGGUAAAGAAGCACCGGCUAACUACGUG